GCUGGGAUAGGCUCCAGCACCCCCGCGAUUCUUGUGAGGAUAAGCGGUAGAAAAGGAAUUAAUGAACCAUCAAACGCUGCUGCACAACCAAAAUGCAGCAACAAAAACAAAUAUUCAGCUUAAAGGGGAACGGCACUUAAAAAAAAAAGUCCAUCAUUCACAACCCCUUUCUUUCCCUUUUCUGUGAAUUAUUACAAGAGAAAAGAAGUUAAUUUGAGCUAGCUAACAAUGCUGUCAUUGGGAUACACAUAUUUUGACUAUGAAGCCCUCUAAAAAGAACCCUCUCACAACGUUGCACUACCAAAACGUAUUUUCUCUCUGCAUUGAUAGACGUACUUAUGCUAAUUUUGUCAACAACAACAGCAGCGACAACACUUACGAUGUCACCUCUCCUUCGGGUGGCUGUGUCUUCCAGCACAAGACGUGUGCUCCAGUCCUCAGGCUCCUACCAAGCAUGGAUGGAGGAUGUUUGAAAUCACGUGCAGCCAGGAAGGGGGCACGAGUCCACGCCUUGUUGAACUUCCAAGACUGAAGUUGACAUCUCAGUAUUUAACAACAGAUGAGUGUGUGACAGCCCUGUCUCCCCAUAUCGUUACUCCUACCAGUGAAGAAGGAACAGGCGAGAAUCCAGCGAGCAGAAAAGAGCUUCUGUUCACCAAGAAGAAGAGGAGGAGGAUGAAGGAUGAAGGAUGAAGGAGGCUAAAGAAUUUUUGGGAAGGAGGUGAAGAAAUGGCGCCAAAAAGAGGAAGCGGAAAUCAACUAUACGGUGGUUUUAAUCUGCCCCCCAUGAACCAUAUUAUACAAUAUUUAUAUCAUAUAGAUAUAUAGAAUAUCGCAUCAACCUUUAAUAACUGACUGUCAAAUGUGCCUUUUUGUUUUCAAUUCUUACUCACCACGAUUCCUUUAAAAUUCCACCAAUAAUCAUAAAUAUAUUCCACAUUUUAACCAGACCAAAUUUGCAGCACAUCUUCAGAUGAUUUUUAUGACAACCCUAGACAUUCACUGUCUUACAGAUGUGUGUAAUAUUUUGAUUGGGUUAUAUAAAUAAUAAUAAAGAGUAAUAAAAGAGCUGCAGUGUAUUUUCAACCACGUGAAUAUUUGGGUUAUUUCUUUCUUUCUUACAUUUGAUACAGCUCUUUUUUGCAUCUAAUGAAGUGAGUGGUAAGAAUUAUUAAAAAAAGAGAAUUAAUAAUUCCCUUUUCAUAAUCAAGGUCCGCCUUACUAAAUGUUAAGUGUUGAUUAAUUACAUUAUUUUGGUUGAUUUUAAUUGUAUGUUGCAUUUAUUUUAACAAAAUCAAACAAUGCUAAAAACAAAAAAACAACCUCGCCUAUAUGUGCAAAUGAAUAAAAACGAUUGAUAAAUGUGACCAAGUGUGACGGACUCAGCGGAGUUAAAUAAAGCAUUAAAUAUGACGUCACGUGUGACCAUGCAGAUUACAAGAGGUUAACGUCAAAUGUUUCUUCUUUCAUUUCCAUGUCAUUGAGGUUUGCCUUUGAGGACUUCUUGCCCUGCAGUGCGAUCGAAGCAGCGGACACCAAGCGCCCUCUACAGGACAGUUGUUGACACUGCGAGAUGCCGAGACAAGUGAAGUUAGCCCUCUGCUACAUCACACAGCACUUCAGGAGUAUUCAAAAGAUGCAAUCCCAGUAUGGAAAAAUCACAUGCAACAAAAUGCCAUUCUGGACAUUCUUACAAAAGAAUCUGAGAGAGAACAUAAACGACAGGAGGAGACUGAGACCAAAAUAGGGUGGUUUUUAAAGCUUCAAAUGAUCCUUGAUAAUUUGUUGGCAUUAUAUUAUUUCUAUUUCAUAUUGACACAUUUUGUAUUUUUCCAAAAUGUUGUUCCAGUGCUGGAUAUUAUUUA